rnacentral:rRNA from 3 species
GUUGUAUGGUUAAGUGACUAAGCGUACACGGUGGAUGCCUUGGCAGUCAGAGGCGAUGAAAGGCGUAAUAACUUGCGAUAAGCCCAGAUUAGGUAGUAAUAACCUUUUGAGUCUGGGAUUCCUGAAUGGGGAAACCCACUU